UUUACCUUUGAAUGCUGCUUUUCAGUCUUCAAUUUGCGAGUCACAUUUUCUUCUCAGCUCUUGUCUUUUCAUCAGGAAUGCUUCAGCGGCCUCUAUUUCAUUAAAUGGCCAAUUUUUCUCUUGCUGUGCUUCCCCAGAGAGGAAGCCUGUAGUAAGUGGAAUGUUCCCAGAACAGGUAUCCUGCCACUAAGAUCUUGUCCGCUGAGUGAUGUCAGUCUAGAUAUUUCCAUAGAGAGCAAUCCUGAAGUAACUGGUGUAAGACAGAAACUGGAAAGCCUCUCUGGGCAAAGGAACUGACCUUUAUUAAGGGAAACAAGGUGAGGAUGGGCCAUAGAGCCCACUCUUGUUUCUCUCAAAGGUUGGUUUCUUUGCCCAGAAGCCCUUCCCAGUCUCUCUCUUACACCAAAAUGUUCCCAGAGAGAGUGUCUUCCUCCACAACUGUCUUUUCCUCUGAGUUCUGAGAGUAGAUGUUGCUUCCCCGGAGGUGUGUAAAGGUUCUCAUAGAGUGUAUGUUCACCCCAUCAGCAUCUCAUCCACAGAAUAUUCUGACAUUAGAUGUGCUUCCCCUGAGAGUAAGCCCGUAGUAAGUGAAAGGUUCUCAGAAAGAUUAUCUCCUCCAUCCACACGUGUCUUUUCCUCAGAAUCUUCAGAGAUUAGGGGUGCUUCCCCCGAGAGGGUAGUAAUUGGAAUGUUCUCAGAAAGAUUGUUGCCCUCCACAAGUGUUUUUUGUUGUGUGUGUUCAGAGAUCAGAAGUUGUUCAAGCCAGAACGAAGCUUCACAAGUAGGAAUGCUUUCAGAGAGAUUAUCUCCUACCACAAGUCUUUUCCUCUGAAUCUUCAGAGAUUAUCAGGUAUGACAGGCAUUUUUCCAUCCAUGUUUAGAGAUUAGAAGUGCUUCAAGAGAGAGUGAUCCUCCAGGAAUGGGAAUAUUUACAGAAAGAUUAUCUCCUACCACAAGUCUUUUCCUCUGAAUAUUCAGAGAUUAUCAGGUAUCACAGGUAUUUUUCCCUCCAUGUUUAGAGAUUAGAAGUGCUUCAAGAGAGAGUGAUCCUCCAGGAAUGGGAAUAUUUGCAGAAAGAUUAUCUCCUAUCACAAGUAUAUUUCCCUCCACGUGCAGAGAUUAGAAGUGC
ensembl:lncRNA